rnacentral:rRNA from 1 species
GACGAACCGUGCGAACGUUAUUCGGAAUCACUGGGCUUAAAGCGCGUGUAGGCGGGACGGCACGUCGGUCGCUGAAAUCCCCCGGCUCAACCGGGGAACGGGCACCGAUACGACCGUCCUGGAGGGGGGUAGGGGGAGCUGGAACUUCCGGUGGAGCGGUGAAAUGCGUUGAGAUCGGAAGGAACGCCCGUGGCGAAAGCGAGCUCCUGGACCCUUACUGACGCUGAGACGCGAAAGCCAGGGGAGCGAACGGG